rnacentral:rRNA from 1 species
UGCAAGUCGAGCGAGAAUAUCAUGACUGAUACUUCGGAUGAAGGAUUGAUAGGAAAGCGGCGGACGGGUGAGUAACGCGUGGGUAACCUACCUUACACAAAGGGAUAGCCACUGGAAACGGUGAUUAAUACCAUAUGAAGCCAAAGGGUCGCAUGAUCUUAUGGUUAAAGUGUUAGCGGUGUAAGAUGGACCCGCGUCUGAUUAGCUAGUUGGUGAGGUAAUGGCUCACCAAGGCGACGAUCAGUAGCCGGCCUGAGAGGGUGAACGGCCACACUGGAACUGAGACACGGUCCAGACUUCUACGGAAGGCAGCAGUGGGGAAUAUUGCACAAUGGGGGAAACCCUGAUGCAGCAACGCCGUGUGAGCGAUGAAGGCUUUCGGGUCGUAAAGCUCUGUCUUGAAGGAAGAAAAAAAUGACGGUACUUCAAGAGGAAGCCCCGGCUAACUACGUGCCAGCAGCCGCGGUAAUACGUAGGGGGCAAGCGUUAUCCGGAAUCACUGGGCGUAAAGGGUACGUAGGCGGUCUAGCAAGCCAGAAGUGAAAGGCAAUGGCUCAACCAUUGUAAGCUUUUGGAACUGUUGGACUUGAGUGCAGGAGAGGUAAGUGGAAUUC